UCUGAGCGUGUGUGUGAGAGGGCCUAGGGGUGGCAGGGCCCCCUUCCCUCCCCCGGGAAGAGGGGCCGCCCUGGGCCCCACAGCUCUGGCCAAGCUAGGGCUGAAGGCAGCAUGUAGGAGUGAGUGUGUGUUGUGAGGGAAGAGGCUCACAACAGCUGAGCAGCAGCUUCACAAUGAAGGUCUUGGAUGCUGAUGACGUCAACAGUGACUUGGCUCUGGGAAGGAAACAGCAUGAACAUCAGCGAGUUCUGGAAACCCUACAGAAGUGGACACGCCAGAUGGAGAGCAGAAGUGUGGAGGUGUGCUAGAGUUGUACAGAAGCACUGAAAAGGUACCAAACAAUGUGUUUAUUAUCUGUUAUUUAUUAUCAAUGACAAAAGAUACAGAUAUUACUUUUUCAAGAAAAUAAUUGUCUUAAAUAACAGUAUGACUAAUAUCUAUUCAGAAAAGCAAGUAAGAACAUGAAACUUCUGAAUAUUUUUUUCUUUUAAAUACAGACCAGAAUAAGCUUUUGUACUACAGAGAAAAGUGCUUUUAUUGCCUGACCACCUAAGUGGCCAGCUUUCUACAUUACACCAUAAUUAUGAUUCUGGGAUGCAAGUGACAUGCAAUAUUGCCAACUUCAGGGUUUCUGCUACUGACAAUGUUAGUUCAGAAUAAUAAAGAUAUCUUUCAUAAUAAAGGCAAUUUCAAAAACCUUUAAAACAGCUAAUAAUUUGGAAAAGUUAUUCAAUAAGUAUACAAAAAAUGCAUAGCAUGAGCUAUGCCAAGAAAAAACAAUUACUGAACUCCAAGAAAAAGAAAAGAAUGUUGAACAGUAGGUACUUAGAUUCAAACUCAUAUCAAUGUAUAUCAAUGCAGAUACACCAUUUUGAUGUGAGGUAAUUCACAUAUUUGAUAGACUGGGAAAUGGAAGUUUCACUGAGAUGAGAAUGCUUUACUUAUAACAAAAUAUUUUCCAAUGAUUCUCCUAAACAGACUUACUGUGAGUUUGGAUCCUUUGGUCCUGGGCAUGUUCACAAGGAAAUCAGAGUAAAAAUCACUAUGUAUAAAAUCACAGUGUUUUUUUUUUUUUAUUUGCUGACAUCAGUAACAAAACAAAUGAAAUUUCUCUGCACCUACACAUAAAUAGUAGCUGCAAUUUUACACCUUUUUAAGUGCAGAAGCUAAAUGAAUAAGCCCACUCAAUUUAGCAUAUAGCUAAAAUGCUUCAAGUUGACCCUAGUUCAGCCAAGCAGAUUAUACAUACUAAAAUCAAUAUUCAGCACAGCAUUUAAAUGCACAUUAAUCACCAAAGACAUAAAUAAAUUCGAGCAUAACUUCUAGGCGUGAACCUGAGAAAUGACUUUGCAAAGAUAUUUAGAUUACAAAAUAUUAAUAUAAUCACCUUCUCAGAUUCUCAGAAAUGGCUAUCUUGGAAAAUUAUUUCUCAGUGAAAUUCCAGAAGUAAUUUGGACCUGAGUCAUAACUAAGUUAAUUACUAGACAUCUUGCACUUUAAAAAGCUUAGUCAAAGGAUCAAAAUAUAGACUCUUGACCUUCAUUUUUGGUCCUGAUGAAAGUAAAAUAGGUAAUUGUUAUUCUACCAGUUAAAAUCUGAGCAUUUGAUGUAAAGAACAGUAUGUUGUGUACAACAGAUAUACUGCUGUAAUGCAUGAGACUGUAAGGUCUCAGUUCCUGAGGAAGACUAUUUUUUGGCUGUACCUGAUGGUAUUCUUUCUAAAGUUCUUGUAGAAGGGAGUCAUGGACCUCAAAUUUUUAAUUCCACAAACUCAGAUGUGGCAGCUCAACCCAUGACAUCAGCAAUAUCCAGAAAGUUAAGAAUUAAGUCUUUCCUAGGUGAAAAUUUAAGAAAAGCAUAGGGAUAGUGAAUUAAUAAGCGGCAACUUUGUUAGGUUUAAAUACAGUAGAAUAUAAAACUCUCAUAAUCUGGGUAGAUUUUUCUUUGGUGUAACCCCAGUAAUUAAACACAAAGUGUUCUUUAGAUCUUGCCAUGUCCAAAAAGACUCAGUCUUCAAUAUGCUCAGGUCAAAAAACUCAGCGCAAUAUGCAACAGCCAUGUGCACAUAGUAGAAAUCUGGAAGUUAUUUUAAAGAAUAUGGCUUAUCAAAAUUUCUUCUAAGGAACCAACUGUUCUAAAAAUUUUAGAAAGUACUAAAUGUCAUAGGGAAAAUCAUUGCAAAAAACAGGAUCAUUUUUAUCAAGAAAAAAAUUAGGAGGGUGAGGGGAAAUAAGAAAAUUCAAUGCACAAUUAAAAAUUAGUCACUGCAUGUGUAUUCCUAUAGCAUUUGCUAUAGGGAGAUGAUUAAUCCUUACAGAAAAUAAAUUUUGCAGUAAAUUUCCUACCUCUUUCUGUCUUCUUAUUAUCUUGCUUUUCUUACUACUGAGAUACAUCAAUUAGUAGAAAGGGUAAAGAUUGGCCCAACUAGACAGAUGCAGCAAAUAUAUUUUAAUAGUACCAACAAGAACGCAAGCACAAGUUGAAGAAGCCACACCAACAGAAUCAAAAUUCAGCUUUUUUGUACAUCUUUGUGUUGCUCCUCUGUUUACACUGUUUUCAAAAAGUGAAGAUAGUGCUUGCAAUUAUGGCUUAUGAGUGUUUGUUGUAUAGUAUGAUGUGUCUGUCACAGAAACUGUGCAUGAAACUGACACAGGCAGAAGUUUGAAAAAAUGGAAUUUUAUGCCCGUUUUGCCCAGCAAGGACAGCUGGACUGGAACAUCAAGAAACAUCAGGUUAUUUUAGCUUAUAUUGCAUAGGCCUCAAGAUUGCAUAGGCCAUGCAUUACUAGGGUAACCUACAAUACUUGAAAUGAAGCCAUCAAACUUUAGUGAAUUGAAGGGGACUUCAGUACCUGUCUUAGUCUGAGAAUCAAACCAUAUUUAAGUGUUACUAAUAGAUAAAGUGAAGUACCCUUAUAAGUGAACAUAAUUGCUUAAAAUAAU